UACAGAGGGUGCAAGCGUUUGUUCGGAAUUAUUGGGGCGUAAAGGGAGUGUAGGCUGUUCCUUAAGUCUUCUGUGAAAUCUACGGGCUUAGCCUGUAACGUGCAGAGGAAACUGGGGGACUUGAGUGUCGGAGAGGGUAGCGGAAUUCCCGGUGUAGAGGUGAAAUUCGUAGAGAUCGGGAGGAACACCAGUGGCGAAGGCGGCUACCUGGCUGACAACUGA
rnacentral:rRNA from 1 species